rnacentral:lncRNA from 1 species
GGCGCGGGCAGGCCCCGCCCCGGGAGCCGUGAAGUGCGGCGCGCGGCGGCGGGCGCGGAUCCCGCGGAAGGAAACGGCAACAUGAAUUCGUAGAUGAUGAGUAGGAUGCCAAAGCCAGAGAUGACAGUGCUCUUGAAGAAAUGCUGGGUAGAACAAAAAGAUGAUCAUGGGAACAGCAAUGGCAGUCAUGUAAAAAUCUUUUUACCGAAGAAGCUGCUCGAAUGUCUACCAAAAUGUUCAAGUUUACCCAAGGAGAGGCACCGCUGGAACACUAAUGAGAGAUCUUGAUGCAGACGUCCUUUUGGAUUUCUUUUUAAUAAUGUGUGACCCUUCACCUUUGACCCCCUGACCUGCAUUACUUUGGUGUAUCUUUUCUGCUGUGAAGGUGUGCUGGUGGCUUUUCUCAAAUAAAAACGAUUUUGGUUGUUGUAAGAAGAAAUAAAGUUUGUGCUCCUCAUUGGCUUUUGCUUUUUAAGUUCAACGCUGUGCAUUUCCCUGUAUCCCAGCACAUCGCUUCUGCCUUGUGUUCUCCCAAGACUUUAUCUGAUUUAUGUUGUCAUUUCUGUACAUCGUUGCUUUGAACUUGCAUUUCUCUACGUUUCUUUUGGUCAGUAAUACAUACGUGAUGUUUGCUGUGGUUUUUCUCUUUGCUGGUCAGCUUUUGGUAGCUCACAGCAAUCACAGGGGAUUUAAGAUUCUCUUCUGAAUAAAAAAUAUUUGUCGUUGUUACAGUUCUGUUCCAUGUCCUGGAGAUGACUGUUCGUAAUGCUCAGCUGAAAACCAAUAGCUGUUCUAAUAAAGGCAUUU